CGUGUAGGCGGUCAGGUAAGUGGGACGUGAAAUGCCUCGGCUCACCCGAGGAGCGGCGUCCCAUACUGCUUGGCUUGAGUACGGGAGAGGAUGUGGGAAUUCCUGGUGUAGCGGUGAAAUGCGUAGAUAUCAGGAGGAACACCGGUGGCGAAGGCGCACAUCUGGCCCGAUACUGACGCUGAAGCGCGAAAGCUAGGGAGCAAACA
rnacentral:rRNA from 1 species